CAAAUACAGUUUAUGACGGGGUGGGUAAAAUGAGGCCUGGGGGCCGGAUGUGGCCCACCAGGCCAUUCUAUCCAGCCUGCAGGGCCCCUAAAAAUUUUAGAAAAUUAAUAU